rnacentral:rRNA from 1 species
GGACGAACGCUGGCGGCGUGCCUAACACAUGCAAGUCGAGCGAGGAGAUCCUCGGGAUGAUCCUAGCGGCGGACGGGUGAGUAACACGUGGGCAACCUGCCUCAUAGAGAGGAAUAGCCUUCCGAAAGGGAGAUUAAUACCUCAUAACAUUGCAGUUUCGCAUGGAACAGCAAUUAAAGGAGUAAUCCGCUAUGAGAUGGGCCCGCGGCGCAUUAGCUAGUUGGUGAGGUAACGGCUCACCAAGGCGACGAUGCGUAGCCGACCUGAGAGGGUGAUCGGCCACAUUGGGACUGAGACACGGCCCAGACUCCUACGGGAGGCAGCAGUGGGGAAUAUUGCACAAUGGGGGAAACCCUGAUGCAGCCAACGCCGCGUGAGUGAUGACGGCCUUCGGGUUGUAAAGCUCUGUCUUCAGGGACGAUAAUGACGGUACCUGAGGAGGAAGCCACGGCUAACUACGUGCCAGCAGCAGC